rnacentral:rRNA from 1 species
AUACUCUCAAUAGCUAGCCCCUAAUCAAAAACAACAAACAACAUUAAUAACCCCUCAUAAACUGAAGCAAGUAAAACAAAUCAUUUUUCCUCCUUAGUAUGGGUGACAGAAAAG